rnacentral:tRNA from 1 species
UCCCUAGUAGCUCAGAUAGUAAAGAAUCUGCCUGCAAUGCAGGAGACCCAGGUUCAAUCCCUGGGUCAGGAA